CCUACGGGAGGCAGCAGUGGGGGAUAUUGCACAAUGGGGGGAACCCUGAUGCAGCGACGCCGCGUGGGUGAAGAAGCGCCUCGGCGCGUAAAGCCCUGUCAGCAGGGAAGAAAAUGACGGUACCUGAAGAAGAAGCCCCGUCUAACUACGGGCCAGCAGCCGCGGUCAUACGUAGGGGGCAAGCGUUAUCCGGAUUUACUGGGUGUAAAGGGGGCGCAGACGGCGAUGCAAGCCAGGAGUGAAAGGCCGGGGCCCAACCCGGGGACUGCUCUUGGAACGGCGUGGCUGGAGUGCAGGAGGGGCAGGCGGAAUGGCUGGGGUAGGGGUGAAAUGCGUAGAUAUCAGGAGGAACACCGGUGGCGAAGGCGGCCGGCUGGACUGCAACUGACGUUGAGGCCCGAAAGCGUGGGGAGCAAACAGGAUUAGAUACCCGGGUAGUC
rnacentral:rRNA from 1 species